AGCAAACCCUGAAAUAUUUAUUACAGUCCCGAUAUUUUAUCUAUGUUACUAAUAACCACCCAAUAUCAUGAUAUAUUUUUUUUUACAUACAUGUGCAGACAAUCAAUUAUAUCUGCACAAUAAAAUCAUAUCUUUGAUAUCUUAUCAAAUUUUUGUCCACUUUCAUUUGCUUCCACUUUCUUUUAUUUUAUUUGUCCACUUUCUUUUGUUUCCAUUUAUUUUUGUUUUUAUGCAGUCAAAUUCCACUACACCAGAUUCCACUACACCUAACAAAUCAGUCAAAUUUUCCUUCACUCACUACUCCACCAAAUUUCUUUCAUCGGCUCUCCAAAAUCAUUUCACCAGAAAUCUCCCCAAACUCAUUUCACCAGAAAUCUCCCCAAACCAAAGCAAACAUCCAUCUGUGUAUCAACAACAAAUCAGUGAAAGGUUUUGUAGACCGUGAGGACUAGCGCUGCUAUAUCAAUUCAGAGUUAAGAAUAAACGACAGGCAUUGCCUAAUCAGGUUGAUUGGUCGGUGCUGACGGGGCAGAGCUGAGGCUAGGGUUCAACUCCGUAUUUUGUCUUCCGCUGUUGCACUAGCUCUUAUUUGUCUUUUAUUUCUCCAACUUAAGACUUUUAUGUUAAAUUCUGAAUUAUGUUUCAUAUCGAGCUUAAACUCUCAACUUCUAGCUCUAUGUUAUUAACGUUGGUUAUCGGAAGCAUGAAACCGAACUUGUGAUCCUAAGGCUUAGAAUGUUGUUGAUUGAUUAAUAUCACUUGAUUUUUGUCUUUCUUCACUCAAAGGGCGUUCCCCGACUUUUUAUCCUAUUAUUUGAAUCCCACAAGGUUCUUUCCUUGUUUAUUUCUAUGAUUUUAGUCGCACCUCGAUUAUAGUUUAUUCCUUCAAGAAUUGGGGUG